rnacentral:rRNA from 1 species
ACUGAGAGGUUGGCCGGCCACAUUGGGACUGAGAUACGGCCCAGACUCCUACGGGAGGCAGCAG